UACGUAGGGAGCAAGCGUUGUUCGGAUUUACUGGGCCUAAAGGGCGCGUAGGCGGCAUAUUAAGUCAUCUGUGAAAUCUCCGAGCUUAACUCGGAACUGUCAGCUGAUACUGAUGUGCUAGAGUGCGGAAGGGGCAAUCGGAAUUCUUGGUGUAGCGGUGAAAUGCGUAGAUAUCAAGAGGAACACCUGAGGUGAAGACGGGUUGCUGGGCCGACACUGACGCUGAGUGCGCGAAAGCCAGGGGAGCAAACGGG
rnacentral:rRNA from 1 species